rnacentral:rRNA from 1 species
UGGCGGACGGGUGAGGAAUACAUCGGAAUCUACUCUGUCGUGGGGGAUAACGUAGGGAAACUUACGCUAAUACCGCAUACGACCUACGGGUGAAAGCAGGGGAUCUUCGGACCUUGCGCGAUUGAAUGAGCCGAUGUCGGAUUAGCUAGUUGGCGGGGUAAAGGCCCACCAAGGCGACGAUCCGUAGCUGGUCUGAGAGGAUGAUCAGCCACACUGGAACUGAGACACGGUCCAGACUCCUACGGGAGGCAGCAGCC